AACGAACGCUGGCGGCAAGCUUAACACAUGCAAGUCGAACGCCCCGCAAGGGGAGUGGCAGACGGGUGAGUAACGCGUGGGAAUCUACCCAGUUCUACGGAACAACAGAGGGAAACUUCUGCUAAUACCGUAUACGCCCUAAGGGGGAAAGAUUUAUCGGAAUUGGAUGAGCCCGCGUAAGAUUAGCUAGUUGGUGAGGUAAUGGCUCACCAAGGCGACGAUCUUCAGCUGGUCUGAGAGGAUGAUCAGCCACACUGGGACUGAGACACGGCCCAGACUCCUACGGGAGGCAGCAGUGGGGAAUAUUGGACAAUGGGCGCAAGCCUGAUCCAGCCAUGCCGCGUGAGUGAUGAAGGCCUUAGGGUUGUAAAGCUCUUUCAGUAGGGAGGAUAAUGACGGUACCUACAGAAGAAGCCCCGGCUAACUUCGUGCCAGCCGCCGCAGUAAUAC
rnacentral:rRNA from 1 species